GGGGGGGGCAAGCGUUGUUCGGAAUUACUGGGCGUAAAGGGCGUGUAGGCGGCCAACUAAGUCCGACGUGAAAUCCCCMGGCUUAACCUGGGAACUGCGUCGGAUACUGGAUGGCUUGAAUCCGGGAGAGGGAUGCAGAAUUCCAGGUGUAGCGGUGAAAUGCGUAGAUAUCUGGAGGAAUACCGGUGGCGAAGGCGGCAUCCUGGACCGGCAUUGACGCUGAAGCGCGAAAGCUAGGGGAGCAAACGGGACUAGAUACCCCGGUAGUCCUAGCCCUAAACGAUGAAUGCUUGGUGUGGCGGGUAUCGAUCCCUGCCGUGCCRAAGCUAACGCAUUAAGCAUUCCGCCUGGGGAGUACGGUCGCAAGACUG
rnacentral:rRNA from 1 species